UACGUAGGGGGCAAGCGUUGUCCGGAAUUAUUGGGCGUAAAGGGUGUGUAGGCGGCCCCUCAAGUUGGAUGUGAAAUCCCCGUGCUUAACAUGGGAAUUGCAUUCAAAACUGAAGGGCUUGAGUGUGGAAGAGGUAAGUGGAAUUCCCAGUGUAGCGGUGAAAUGCGUAGAUAUUGGGAGGAACACCAGUGGCGAAGGCGACUUACUGGGCCACAACUGACGCUGAGGCACGAAAGCGUGGGGAGCAAACAGGAUUAGAUACCCUGGUAGUCCACGCUGUAAACGAUGAUUACUAGGUGUAGGGGGUAACACCCCCCCUGUGCCGCAGCUAACGCAAUAAGUAAUCCGCCUGGGGAGUACGGUCGCAAGAUUGAA
rnacentral:rRNA from 1 species